rnacentral:rRNA from 1 species
UACGGAGGGUGCGAGCGUUGUCCGGAAUCACUGGGCGUAAAGGGCGCGUAGGCGGACAGUUUAGUCAGAGGUGAAAGCCCAGGGCUCAACCUUGGAAUUGCCUUUAAGACUGCAUCGCUUGAAUCCGGGAGAGGUGAGUGGAAUUCCGAGUGUAGAGGUGAAAUUCGUAGAUAUUCGGAAGAACACCAGUGGCGAAGGCGGCUCACUGGACCGGUAUUGACGCUGAGGUGCGAAAGCGUGGGGAGCAAACAGG